UUCCGGUUGAUCCUGCCGGACCUGACUGCUAUCGGAUUGAUACUAAGCCAUGCUAGUCUUUGUAGUAAUACAAGGCAUACGGCUCAGUAACGCGUAGUCAACCUACCCUAUGGACGGGGAUAAUCUCGGGAAACUGAGCAUAAUACCCGGCAGACCACUUAUCCUGGAAUGGUUAGUGGUUAAAAUGAUUCGUCGCCAUAGGAUGGGACUGCGGCCUAUCAGCUUGUUGGUGAGGUAAUGGCCCACCAAGGCGAUUACAGGUACGGGCUCUGAGAGGAGAGGCCCGGAGAUGGGUACUGAGACAAGGACCCAGGCCCUAUGGGGCGCAGCAGGCGAGAAAACUUUGCAAUGUGCGAAAGCACGACAAGGUUAAUCCGAGUGAUUUCUGCUAAAGGAAUCUUUUGUUAGUUCUAAAAAUACUAGUGAAUAAGGGGUGGGCAAGUUCUGGUGUCAGCCGCCGCGGUAAAACCAGCACCUCAAGUGGUCAGGAGGAUUAUUGGGCCUAAAGCAUCCGUAGCCUGUUCUAUAAGUUUGCGGUUAAAUCUAUACGCUCAACGUAUAGGCUGCCGUAAAUACUGUAGAACUAGGGAGUGGGAGAGGUAGACGGUACUCGAUAGGAAGGGGUAAAAUCCUUUGAUCUAUUGAUGACCACCUGUGGCGAAGGCGGUCUACCAGAACACGUUCGACGGUGAGGGAUGAAAGCUGGGGGAGCAAACCGGAUUAGAUACCCGGGUAGUCCCAGCUGUAAACGAUGCAGACUCGAUGAUGCAAUGGCAUAGAGCUAUUGCAGUAUCGCAGGGAAGCCGUUAAGUCUGCCGCCUGGGAAGUACGUACGCAAGUAUGAAACUUAAAGGAAUUGGCGGGGGAGCACCACAAGGGGUGAAGCCUGCGGUUCAAUUGGAUUCAACGCCGGG
rnacentral:rRNA from 2 species